rnacentral:sRNA from 1 species
UAAUUUAUUGAUAAAUUAAUACCUCUAUAAAUUAAUAGAAAUUUAUGGUCCCAACAUUAUUAAUUUAUAGAGGUUUUACUGUAGUAACCAAUCGUGUGGUUAAUGUGGAGAGAUUUUGGGAAGAUUGUCAAAUAUUCUGUCAUUGUAAAUAAGUCUCAACUACAGGAUUUAUUUCACAAAAUGGCUGCAAAAAUGUAUAUAUAGAGAUUUAGAAAUAUAGAAAAUUAUAAAUCACAAAAAAUAAUACAUUUCUAAUCAACUUUUAAUAUGUUUUCUUAAUAUGUAUGAUUUUCCUUUAA